GCCCCCGUAGCCCAACAGGCAGAGGCAGCCCCCUUAAAAGGGGUGUAGUGCCGGUUCGAAUCCGGUCGGGGGCACCA
rnacentral:tRNA from 1 species